rnacentral:lncRNA from 1 species
UCAACUUCUUCUCCAAAUAUAUUUGAGCCGGAGCAUUCGACAAGCAAAGAGUUGACCAAUUCUCCUGCCAUGAAUUGUUUGAUGGACCAGCAUAUAGAAAAUAGCAAGAAGAAAAACAGGACUUCAUGUUGUUGCUUCAGGAGUGCCUGUGACAAUUCUCUCUAGAGAUCAUUAUCUUUAGUAGUAUAUAUUGUAGGUGUGUAAAUAAUUGGAGGACUUACCGUCUUUUUCGCAAGUUUUAUGAUAUAAAUAGAAUGGCCUUCAAAGCUCCAUGCUUCUCCAAAUCAUUGUACAGAAAGCAAUACAACAGAAAACAAUAGUAUCA